UUGUAAUUUGGAGAAGGUGCUUCGGGGGCGACGGCGGCUCAAGUCCCUUGGAACGGGGCGUCACAGAGGGUGAGAAUCCCGUACGCGGCCGUCCGUCCAACCCGUGUGAAGCCCUUUCGACGAGUCGGGUUGUUUGGGAAUGCAGCCCUAAGUGGGUGGUAAAUUUCAUCUAAAGCUAAAUACCUGCCAAAGACCGAUAGCGCACAAGUAGAGUGAUCGAAAGAUGAAAAGAACUUUGAAAAGAGAGUUAAACAGUACGUGAAAUUGUUGAAAGGGAAGCGCUUGCAGCCAGACUCGUGCGCGGGGGCUUAGCCGUUCUUCGGGACGGUGCACUCCCCCGCGGUCGGGCCAGCAUCGGUUUCGGCGGUCGGACAAAGGCCCCGGGAAUGUAGCUCUCCUCGGGGAGCGUUAUAGCCCGGGGUACAAUGCGACCCGCCGGGACCGAGGACCGCGCUUCGGCUAGGAUGCUGGCGUAAUGGUUGCCAGCGA
rnacentral:rRNA from 1 species